UUAACCCAAAGGACUUGGCGGUGCACUAAUCCCCCCAGGGGAACCUGGCCCUUAAUUCGAUGAUCCACGAACCUCUUACCUUUUCUAGUUUUGCUUAUCUUUGCAAGAAGUAAACAAAGAUCAGCUCGCAUACCGCCGUUUCGUAGCUUGUAUCGUGAGAGGACAUAAACAGGCGCCCUAGUGGCCCGUAUAAAAAUAAAUAAGGGUUUCUCUAAUAAUUCAGGUAAACGUGUGGCCCUAUGGAAAGGGGGUGCUGGGUUACAAUUGGGGUUUAUAAUGGCGUGGCUGCCUUAAGGGCAAGACAAAAGAGGACUUGGAAGUAAUAGCCUUGGACAAUGAGGCUGUGAAUACUGCUCUAGUGUGUGUACAAAUCGCCCGUCACUCUCUG
rnacentral:rRNA from 1 species